rnacentral:lncRNA from 1 species
UAUCGCAUGUGUCUCUCAACAGCCUGUGGUUUCCUGUGUUUGAAUAGUAAAAAUUUUAUUUCUUAUGUUUUCCUAAAAAUCCUUAAAUGGAGGAAGAAUUACUUUCGAAGGAGAUGAUAUUGUGAAGAUUUUAUCAGAAAUUGUUGAUGAUGAAUAUAACAGUGAAGACUCUGAUAUUGGGCCGGCAUGACGAAAAGCGUACGUGACCGUUGCUACGACCGUUGCUAGAACAUUCGGUGGAAGGACCGUUAGGACAUAGAUGACUCUUUAGGCACUUCGGCAAUAUACAUUGUCGCCAAGGCCGCCACAUCUUUGUCUCCAUCAUCGGUCCAUCGGGUUCGAAGUAUGCCGAUCGUGACAUCAUCCUGCCCGCGGUGUGUGUGUCCUGGUCUCUGACGUGAUUUACGUUACACUUUCAUCGUUACUAUCAAAUGAAGAAGAAACAGAAAUAGAAGAGAAUAAUGCGGAUUGAUCGGAACUUGAUCCAGAAAAACGUAACGAACAAUUCGAAGGUGUCACUGGAGUGAAAAUUUUUCCAAAUAAUCCUCAAAUUAUUACAGUCUUUAUUCGUUGGAGAUAAUUUAUUUGAAAAAAUUGUCCUCGAAAUAAAUCGUUAUCAUAAUGCAAAUAGCCACAGAUAUAAAAAUUCUGCACAUAAAUCUAAAUGAAUCGAUAUCACAGUUCCGGAAAUGAAGAAAGUAUUUGUCCUCAUAAUAAUUAUGGAAAUUAGGAAAAAUAAGAUUGGUCCACAAAUUCACUGAUAGAAACUCUAGUUUUUGACAAUAUUAUGAGUAGACGUCGGUUUUUACAAAUUUGUAUUUUCCUCCGUUUCUUUAAUAACACAGUUAUUCGUCCAAAUGACAACAGGCUAAUAAAAGUGCAGGAAAUUCUAGAUUAUUUCGUAAUAAAUUUAAAAUCAUAUCUAUCACUUGAUGAAGGCAUAAUCCCAUAGAGAGGAGACUUCGCUUCCGAGUUUACAAUCCGAGCAAAACUAUAAAACAUGGCAUUUUCAAUAGAAUCAUUGGUGAAUCGAAAACACGAUAUAUUUACAUUCUUUCCUUUAUUGUGAAAAGAGUAUUAUUUUGGAGAGUACCAUUAUAAAUCAAAUGGAUCAAUAUCAGAACGAAUGGCAUCAUGUGUAUGCAGAUAAUUUUUACAACAGUGUAACUUUGGCUUCUAAAUUAUUAUCGCAAAAGGUUAGAUUUUGGGGAACAAUAAGAGUAAAUCGGAGAAUACCGGAUUCUUUAAAAAAAUAUGAAACUGCAGCGUGGAGAGACAUACCGCGAAAGAAAAAGGGGAGAAUUUAUGAUACAGAUAUGGAGAAGUACAAUGUAGUUAACAAUGUGUAGGAGUAGUCACUGAGAUUCGACCGUCUAUAUCUUCCAUUUUUCUCACUGAUUAUACGUAUAAACAAGGAAGUUAAAAAGAAGUCCCAUCAAAAUCAGUGAUGAGACACCUUUCUGGCAAAUCGAUCAUUUUAUGAAGUCAUGCAGAUGCUGGAUUGUUGGAUAUGUUUCCUAUAUCCAUUUAGAAAUCUAAAUAAUAGGGUAUACAAUAUUCCAAUCUUCCAAGUCAAUGCAAUUUCGAUUUACUUAGCAUUUGUAAUCUGUAAGUUUGCUGCAAAUUAAUACUUAGUAAAAGAUUGGUAUACCAUGUGUAUGAAUAGUUCGCCAUAAACAUAUGAAUGUUAAGGAUGGUCCCAUUGAAUACCGAGAUUUAGUAAUACCGUGGAUGAUUGUAUUUUUAAAUACUUUUGUGACCUUUGCAAAAUAUACAUUUGUACUAAAAUAUCUUGCAACUUUUGCAUUUUUAGAAUCGUUUAAAAUUUUAUCAAUAUAAUCAUGAUAGUUGUAACAAUCAUAAUAGUUAAUCACAUUUCUCUAUGGAUUGGUUUUUGUAUCUCAUUAUUUCAUAUAAAAAAGUACUAAGUUGCUUAUGUCAAACGAGAUGCAUUAACCAACGCAUAGAGAAAUGUGAUUAUUUAAAAAAAACUUGGAAUCAAAAAUCUCUACGUGUCCACGCGCAAAGAAACUAAUAACUUUAUGUCGUAUCCUUUUCAAGGCCGUGCAACUUUUGUUUUAUAAUAUCAUAUAUCUUUAUAAUAAUGUGAAAUCAUGAAGUUAGUUGCUUCAUUCUAUUUAUGGUUGACUACGUCAUGUGCUAAGGAAUUCCCUGUUUCUGCAUUAAUAUCACGUUAUUUAUUUCUUAUCUGACUGCGAAAUGUAAAUAUAUUGUAAAUAACGUCACCGCAAAAACCAAUAGAACUUUAAUAUAAUUUUUCAAGAGUACGAUUAAUUUAUGACUCAUGGUUCCUUUUGCAAAGUUGGUCAUAGUGAUGAGUAGAAUACGAUGCAAACAGAAAAUGUAACUUUUUGAUCUUGAAAUUCUAGGUCAAGAUCAAAAUCAAUUUUGCGGCAGUUUUUUUACAUUAAUCUCCACCAAACCAAGAGUGCAGAAUCACAUUGCAAUGGUUCCGACACUUAUUUUCCUUAUUAUGCAUUCUAUACAUUCAAUUAAAGGCAAUAUAAGUAUAUAAACAUAUAUAAAUGCCUUGACUAUAACAAUUAUUUUUUCAAUCUCUUAAAUAUUCGCUUUUUCUCGAUUUUGUCACGUUUCUGAUUUUGAUUAACGUUCUCUCAGCAUUACUAAAUUCAUUAGCCAUUGAUACUUAUUUAUAUACGUUUACCUUAAUUUUCUUGCACUUUUUUGCUUACAUUCAAACAUCAGUUUGUGGUCAUCAUGUAAUUUUAGGUUUUAAAAAUCUCCAAAAAAAUCUUAUGUAACAUUUGCACGCACGUGCUGAAUAACUAAUGCAACUUUCUCGAAAGAUCAAUCUUACUAACGAGAUACAAAAGCAAUACGUUAGUUCACCAUAAAGUCGAUGUGUCGCAACGUAGACGGAUUGAAAUGAGAACUAUUUGAAAAUUAUAUUUAAAAAGGACCUUUUGAAAUUUUAUUUAUAGCGACUCUCGAAAAUAUUAAAUAUAAA